rnacentral:rRNA from 1 species
AUGCGCUUUUCUAUCAAUUGUGCAACAGUAAUUUGUUCACCCACAGUAUGCUGUGUGUUCGAGAGAGAAGCCUCUAGUGAAAAUUAUGGCCCCUGGGUCUACUUUAAUCGUAUUAUAAAAAACAAAAUUUCUUUGUUGCAAUUUAUUUACUUUAUUUUAAUUUGCAAUUUAUCUAUCUACAUAUACAAGAUUUUAUCCUUGCAAGUAACGGGUACAAGGGGAUUGACACCCUCUUGCCCGUGUUGGGUGCAAGUAUUUGCUUUUGUGUGUGCACGUGAUGUUCAUGAGGCUAUGUGUGAUUCUCCUAUUGGUUCGAUAAACCUUGGCUCUCAUUAA